rnacentral:rRNA from 1 species
AGUGAACGCUGGCGGCAGGCCUAACACAUGCCAGUCGAACGGCAGCACAAGAGAGCUUGCUCUCUGGGUGGCGAGUGGCGGACGGGUGAGGAAUGCAUCGGAAUCUGCCCAUUUGUGGGGGAUAACCUCGGGAAACCGGGACUAAUACCGCAUACGACCUACGGGUGAAAGCAGGGGAUCUUCGGACCUUGCGCAGAUGGAUGAGCCGAUGCCGGAUUAGCUAGUUGGAGGGGUAAAGGCCCACCAAGGCGACGAUCCGUAGCUGGUCUGAGAGGAUGAUCAGCCACACUGGGACUGAGACACGGCCCAGACUCCUACGGGAGGCAGCAGUGGGGAAUAUUGGACAAUGGGCGCAAGCCUGAUCCAGCCAUGCCGCGUGUGUGAAGAAGGCCUUCGGGUUGCAAAGCACUUUUGUUGGGAAAGAAAAGCAGCCGGUUAAUACCCGGUUGUCAUGACGGUACCCAAAGAAUAAGCACCGGCUAACUUCGUG